UACGUAGGGUGCGAGCGUUAAUCGGAAUUACUGGGCGUAAAGCGUGCGCAGGCGGUUUUGUAAGUCAGAUGUGAAAUCCCCGAGCUCAACUUGGGAACUGCGUUUGAAACUACAAGACUAGAAUAUGUCAGAGGGGGGGUAGAAUUCCACGUGUAGCAGUGAAAUGCGUAGAGAUGUGGAGGAAUACCAAUGGCGAAGGCAGCCCCCUGGGAUAAUAUUGACGCUCAUGCACGAA
rnacentral:rRNA from 1 species